rnacentral:rRNA from 1 species
UACGUAGGGGGCGAGCGUUGUCCGGAUUUAUUGGGCGUAAAGAGCUCGUAGGCGGUUCGGCAAGUCAGAUGUAAAAACUCCAGGCUCAACUUGGAGAGGCCAUCUGAUACUGCCGUGACUAGAGUCCGGUAGAGGAGCACGGAAUUCCUGGUGUAGCGGUGAAAUGCGCAGAUAUCAGGAGGAACACCAGCGGCGAAGGCGGUGCUCUGGGCCGGAACUGACGCUGAGGAGCGAAAGCGUGGGGAGCGAACAGG